AUAUACAAGAGAUAUUAGAGAGAAACUUGUAGUAGACGCUUUUCUUCUUUAAACGGCUUUUUUAUUUCCUUUGCUAUAAUUCUAAUUUUAUUUCUGUUAUAUAGAAAUUUCAGAAUUCAAAAUGAAAGAAAAGACCGCGGAAAACCUUUUCUCUCUCUUCCUUCUGGGCGAUUCUACAGUGAUCCUCCACCGACUUCCACCGCCUCAAUUUUCUGGUGAUCUCUUUGUCGUCCUAGUGCGGAUUUUACUCUCCGGUGUCUCUGCCGGUCCGUUCGUGUUGUUCUCUUUGACUGUUGUUGUCUUCUCUGAAUCCAUGGAUAAAGAAUUAUGGCAAGCGCUUCAAAAUUUAGAUCUAGGAUCUGAGAGAGCUCCUCUGAAGAUGUCAGCUGAAGCGAGGCGCUCGCGUGAUAUAGAUAAUCGUCUCAGCCUAAUUGUCAAAGGUCUAAACCCUCAACAUCAGAAACCAGCAGGACUUAAAGGUGCUUUGCCUAAAGCUUGGAGAUUGGAUGGAAGGGUUACAAGUAGAAUUAAUGAUGACGGUACUGUUCAAUUCUUCUUUAAAGCUGAACACCAUCUCAUGUCUGUCCUAGAAAAUGGCCCUUGGCACCAUAAUUUCUGGAUGGUGGCUGUUGAUCGAUGGACCAAUCGUACCUUGUCAAAUUUUCUCUCCCAAAUCUCCUUUUGGGUUAAAAUUCUGCAUAUUCCUGAAGAUUUUAGGACAGACCCAGUUAUUAGAGAGACAGCAGGGGUUCUGGGGCAUAUUGAUGAAACCAAAAUUAUAGAAGCCACUGCGGAUGCUGAAGGUGAAGUCUGGGCUCAUGUUACAAUGAACAUCUCCGAUCGUUGAAUCUUAGUACGAUCUGUUGAAUUCGAACCUGCCACAGUCCCAGUCAUGGUUAGGUUUGUUUUCGCUAAACUGAAGAAAUUCUGCUUUAGAUGUGGGUCAUUGCUGCAUGAUGAAUUAGCUUGUAACCAUCAAAGCAUUGUGCUCCAGUUGAACGUUGAAGCAACUAGACAAGCUAUAGAACCGAUGCAAGGCAUUAAUCAAGGGGAUGACGAACCUAUGCAGGAAGGUUCUAGUUCCUCAACACAUGUUGCUGGCCCUAUUCCUAUAGUUGUUAGAGAAACUGGUGAAGCAUCUGAGACUCUUACAAUUCGCACCAGAGCAGCUAAUUUAUUGACUGCUGGUAAUGAUGAAUCUAUGCAAGAAGGAGAAGAGAAUCCCAUUCAAACCCAGCCAACACUUCACUCAGAAGAAAUGGGACCGACACAGUUGCAACCUCAAGAAGAGCU
rnacentral:sRNA from 1 species